AAGAAUUAAAUGGAUGAAAUAUGAAGUUUUAUUAAAAGAAAAAGGGGUGAAAAGAACAAAGUUUUGUCCAUCUUUGUUCAUCAUAGCUGAAAGUUAGAGAAGAGAAAGGAGAGGAGAAAGCUCUUGAGUAUUUGGUCAUUAGGAGGAGGAAAAUUGAAGGAAAUCUCCAACCAUAGUGGGCUUGGAGCUGUGAGGGAAUUCGGAGUGGCCACCCGUUCUGAAAGUUUGAUUUUCUUCUGGUGAACUGGACAUCCUUUUAAUUACGUUUGAAGUUUUGGGUUUUUUUUAAAUGUAAUAAGGCCGCUUAAUUA